rnacentral:rRNA from 1 species
UGGGGAAUUUUGGACAAUGGGCGAAAGCCUGAUCCAGCAAUGCCGCGUGUGUGAAGAAGGCCUUCGGGUUGUAAAGCACUUUUGUCCGGAAAGAAAUCCUUGGCUCUAAUACAGUCGGGGGAUGACGGUACCGGAAGAAUAAGCACCGGCUAACUACGUGCCAGCAGCCGCGGUAAUACGUAGGGUGCAAGCGUUAAUCGGAAUUACUGGGCGUAAAGCGUGCGCAGGCGGUUUGCUAAGACCGAUGUGAAAUCCCCGGGCUCAACCUGGGAACUGCAUUGGUGACUGGCAGGCUAGAGUAUGGCAGAGGGGGGUAGAAUUCCACGUGUAGCAGUGAAAUGCGUAGAGAUGUGGAGGAAUACCGAUGGCGAAGGCAGCCCCCUGGGCCAAUACUGACGCUCAUGCACGAAAGCGUGGGGAGCAAAACAGGAUUAGAUACCCUGGUAGUCCACGCCCUAAACGAUGUCAACUAGUUGUUGGGGAUUCAUUUCCUUAGUAACGUAGCUAACGCGUGAAGUUGACCGCCUGGGGAGUACGGUCGCAAGAUUAAAACUCAAAGGAAUUGACGAGGUCAUAGCUGUUUCCU